ACAAUUUAGGAAACUCGAUGUGGCCCUCAGGCCAAAAAGUAUGCCCGCCCCGGCUUAGAGCAUGGAUAUUGUAAAAAGUUGCUGUGACAUUGCCUUAAAGUUUAGACCGAAGCUACACUGUCACUCCACGUGUAUGCGACAGGCUGGUUCUAGUGACACCACAUUCUAAUGCAGCAAAAUGAAGAAACUGUUACCUUGACACCAAAACUAAAGCCGAGCAGAUGGUACAAUCACAUUCAGAGUACAGCAAGUUUCAUAUCUUUAAAUCAAGUGCCAGGUGCAUUUUCCAUCUCAUCUAUAUGCCAAGAGUCCAAAUUUAACUGAUUUCUCUGACAAAUUUUACGUGCUUUGUCUUUGAUAGUUAGCCUGACAGCUGGUAGCUGGGCGGGUAUGGAAAGAUUUGCCAUUGUUAUCACAAAAACUAUAUUUUCCAUCCCACUUUCAUUCCACAUUUAAUAACUGAUGGUAUGCUUGAUAAAAAAGGAAAAUUAAAUUACUUAAAAAUCUAUUGCCAAUGACUGCACAAGUCUUUGUCCUGAAAAUUUAUUUAGUACUGAAUAGGCUCAGAUAAAUGAUUGACUUGAUAGGUUUUGAGGUCCAAAUCAGGAAAUUCCUUUUUAACUUCUUAGAGAGGAUUUUACUGAAAUUAGUGAACACUGGUUAGCAGUAACCACAUAAACAUAAAUGACAAAAAUCAAGAUGUCACUGUUCUCAAUAGAUGCCACACUUCCCAAGGGGGCCUGGUCCACAUAUAGUUUAUUGAUGUAAUAAAACAAUACAGUUAGUGUUAGAUCCAACCACAUAGAGAAAGAAUGAGUGAAUGAAAUAUUUGUACAGUACAUAUAGGAAAUAAGAUGUUUGUGAGACAACUACUUAUUUCAAAAUAAAAAGGUUUCUAAAAUAUAUUGAGUUAUUGAAAUCUACAUGAAUACAUGGAUGUUAAGAACAAUAAGGUGCAUAAAACCAAAAUAUCAAAUAUCGAGCAACUCAACGAUGUACUAGGCAACUUUGCUAACAAUGCAUGAUGUCUUACGAUUUGCUUGAAAUAUCAUCUAUACCACACAGGGCAAGCAAAAAAACAUUUAGAUUUAAUCUCAAAUACACAUUAGCAUGAAGUUCCACAACUACAGGGAGGGAUUUUUUUGAGCUGGCGAAGUGACUACUUUAGGAACAUCAAACCCUCUCUGUAAAUUAAGAGAAUGUGUCCAAAUAAAAAGCUGUUGUCGUCCUUUCCAGAUAAAAACCCUUCCCUUUUACUUAAUACUCAUUUCAGUCAUAAGCAUAAUACAGCAUUUAGGAACACAGUUUCUAUUACAACAUGACUAAAACAAUGACAGCCUCAAGAAUUAAACAUGAUUUCACAGGCAACAACAGAAAAAACAAUCCUCAAAGAUUCUUCUCCUUAAAAACUAGUUUUAUAAAUGUAGACUAUAUUGCAUGAGGAAUUGCUGGUAUUUUUUUUUUUUAAGAAAAUAUAUUGUGCGAUUGUGGCUACAACGCACUGCUGAAAAGCAUUGUUGUUUCGUAUAAAAAAA